rnacentral:rRNA from 1 species
AUAAGAGGUCCCGCCUGCCCAGUGACUGUUAGUUUAACGGCCGCGGUAUUUUGACCGUGCAAAGGUAGCGCAAUCACUUGUCUUUUAAAUGAAGACCUGUAUGAAUGGCACCACGAGGGCUCAACUGUCUCCUUUCUCCUGUCAAUGAAAUUGAUCUCCCCGUGCAGAAGCGGGGAUUUCCCCAUAAGACGAGAAGACCCUAUGGAGCUUCAGGCACCAGAACAGACUAUGUUAAGCACCCUAAACACAAAAGACAAAACCAAUUAGGCCCUGUUCUAAUGCCUUUGGUUGGGGCGACCGCGGGGAAACAAAAAACCCCCAUGUGGACCAGGAGCACCCCUCACUCCCACAACCCAGGGCCACGGCCCUAAGUAACAGAACCUCUGACCAUAAUGAUCCGGAAUGUCCGAUCAACGAACCGAGUUACCCUAGGGAUAACAGCGCAAUCCCCUUCUAGAGUCCAUAUCGACAAGGGGGUUUACGACCUCGAUGUUGGAUCAGGACAUCCUAUUGGUGCAGCCGCUAUUAAGGGUUCGUUUGUUCAACGAUU